rnacentral:rRNA from 1 species
GACGAACGCUGGCGGCGUGCUUAACACAUGCAAGUCGAACGGAAAGGCCCUGCUUUUGUGGGGUGCUCGAGUGGCGAACGGGUGAGUAACACGUGAGUAACCUGCCCUUGACUUUGGGAUAACUUCAGGAAACUGGGGCUAAUACCGGAGAGGAGCUCCUGCUGCAUGGGGGGGUUUGGAAAGUUUCGGCGGUGGGGGAUGGACUCGCGGCUUAUCAGCUUGUUGGUGGGGUAGUGGCUGACCAAGGCUUUGACGGGUAGCCGGCCUGAGAGGGUGACCGGCCACAUUGGGACUGAGGUACGGCCCAGACUCCUACGGGAGGCAGCAGUGGGGAAUAUUGCACAAUGGGCGGAAGCCUGAUACAGCAACGCCGCGUGCGGGAUGCCGGCCUUCGGGUUGUAAACCGCUUUCGCAUGUGACGAAGCGUGAGUGACGGUAAUGGGUAAAGAAGCACCGGCUAACUACGUG